AACCUAGCACACCUGCGGUGUGUACCUGCGGAAGGAUCAUUAAAAAAAACUUUUUGCCCGGGACCUCCGCGUCCGGGGCAGAAAAAAAACCCAUACUAUGUGCACCGUUACCGUUUUCUUUGGCAGGGGCUUGGGGUGUUCUCGCACCUCAACUUCUCCUCUAGCUCCAUCCCAAUGUUAUAAUCCCUUCGUUUGGGACAGCCGGACAUGGGAAGCCCGUACCCUGCCAAGUGACCCUAA
rnacentral:misc_RNA from 1 species